rnacentral:rRNA from 1 species
GAUGAACGCUGGCGGCGUGCUUAAUACAUGCAAGUCGAACGGGACUUCUGUAGCGCCUUUCGCUUUCUGGUGCGGGUGGCGAAUUGGUUAGUAAAACGUGAGUUAACUGUCGUGUUCUUUGGGAUAAGCUCGUGGAAGGGUGUUUAAUACCUGUUGUUAUGCCUGCUUAGCAUGGGUAGGGUGGGGAAGCUUUUUAAGGUGUAGGUAGGCUUCGGGUUGUAGCAGCUCGUUGGGGGGGUGAUGGCGUAGGAAGGCUACGGUGGGUAGCCGGCGUGAGUGGGUGAUCGGGCACAUUGGGACUGAGAGACGGCCCAAACCCCUCCGGGAGGCAGCGGGAGGGAAUCUUGCGCAAUGGGCGAAAGCCGGAUGGAGCAAGGCCGCGUGGGUGAAGAAGGUCGUCGGAUCGUAAAGCCCUGUUGUUAGAGAAUAAAGUGAGUGAGAGGAACUUUUCACGUUUCGACGGUAUCGAACCAGAAAGCCCCGGCUAACUACGUG